UACGAAGGUCCCGAGCGUUGUUCGGAAUCACUGGGCGGAAAGGGAGCGUAGGCGGCGUGGUAAGUCAGAUGUGAAAUCCCGGGGCUCAACCCCGGAACUGCAUCCGAUACUGCCAUGCUAGAGGAUUGGAGAGGUAGCUGGAAUUCUUGGUGUAGCAGUGAAAUGCGUAGAGAUCAAGAGGAACACUCGUGGCGAAAGCGAGCUACUGGACAAUUCCUGACGCUGAGGCUCGAAGGCUAGGGUAGCGAAAGGG
rnacentral:rRNA from 1 species